rnacentral:lncRNA from 1 species
UAUUCAUUAGAUUCACACUAGAGCCACCAUCCACUUAAAUAUUAGAAAUGAAAUUACUAUCGAUAAAUAAAUCAAUAGUUGGUGCUCCCGAAUCGGGAUUUAAACUAAUUUCACAAGUUUCUCUAUUACGAGAUCUACAUUGUCAUACUGGAAUAGCUUAUAAUAUGUAAAAAUUAAUUAGAACAUAUAAUAUGUUUAUAAGUCUUAGUGUAUAUUAGAAUGG